GGGCGGUCCACCUUUGGCUGGUACUGCUCUGGCUGGGGUUCACCUUCUGGUGAGCCGGUAUGCCCUUUAGUGGGUGUGGCGGGGAACCAGGACUUUUACUUUGAAAAAAUUAGAGUGUUUAAAGCAGGCUUAUGCUUGAAUACAUUAGCAUGGAAUAAUAGAAUAGGACCUCGGUUCUAUUUUGUUGGUUUCUAGGACCGAAGUAAUGAUUAAUAGGGAUAGUUGGGGGCAUUAGUAUUUAGUAGCUAGAGGUGAAAUUCUUGGAUUUACGAAAGACUAACUUCUGCGAAAGCAUUUGCCAAGGAUGUUUUCAUUAAUCAAGAACGAAAGUUAGGGGAUCGAAGACGAUCAGAUACCGUCGUAGUCUUAACCAUAAACUAUGCCGACUAGGGAUCAGACGAUGUUAAUUUACUGACUCGUUUGGCACCUUAUGAGAAAUCAAAGUUUUUGGGUUCCGGGGGGAGUAUGGUCGCAAGGCUGAAACUUAAAGGAAUUGACGGAAGGGCACCACCAGGAGUGGAGCCUGCGGCUUAAUUUGACUCAACACGGGGAAACUCACCAGGUCCAGACAUAGUAAGGAUUGACAGAUUGAGAGCUCUUUCUUGAUUCUAUGGGUGGUGGUGCAUGGCCGUUCUUAGUUGGUGGAGUGAUUUGUCUGCUUAAUUGCGUUAACGAACGAGACCUUAACCUGCUAAAUAGUUAUGCCAACUAAGGUUGGUAGCCAACUUCUUAGAGGGACUGUCGGCGAUUAGCCGACGGAAGUUUGAGGCAAUAACAGGUCUGUGAUGCCCUUAGAUGUCCUGGGCCGCACGCGCGCUACACUGAUGAAGUCAACGAGUCUAUAACCUUGGCCGGAAGG
rnacentral:rRNA from 1 species